AAACCUAAARAUGAUGAUUGAGAAUUAACGCAUAGUUCAACUGRUAUCUAUGAAGAAAAUAUUUCCAUCAAUAUAGUCUUUCACCCCUAUCUGAUUUUAGGCUU
rnacentral:snoRNA from 1 species